GGAAUAUUGCGCAAUGGGGGCAACCCUGACGCAGCAACGCCGCGUGAACGAUGAAGGCCUUCGGGUUGUAAAGUUCUUUUCUGGGGGACGAUAGUGACGGUACCUCAGGAAUAAGUCCCGGCUAACUACGUGCCAGCAGCCGCGGUAAAACGUAGGGGGCGAGCGUUAUCCGGAUUUACUGGGCGUAAAGCGCGCGUAGGCGGCGCUGUAAGUUGGAUGUGAAAGCUCCCGGCUUAACUGGGAGAGGUCGUUCAAUACUGCAGUGCUUGAGGUUGACAGAGGAGAGUGGAAUUCCCGGUGUAGUGGUGGAAUGCGUAGAUAUCGGGAGGAACACCAGUGGCGAAAGCGGCUCUCUGGGUCACACCUGACGCUGAGGUGCGAAAGCGUGGGUAGCGAACGGGAUUAGAUACCCGAGUAGUCC
rnacentral:rRNA from 1 species